GUUCCAGACCUGAGUAGGUACAUGCGUCAGUUUAACCAUGUGGCUUGCAAGAUCAGCCACUGCCUGCCCUUCAUCAUUUAUAUGCAGACAACAAUUACUGAGGUUAAACUUUCAGCAUACACCUCCUUCUACUGCCAGCAAUUAAUCAAGAGCCAGCCUAUUUUGGUAAAUGGCUGAUCUCAUUCAGCUGAUCUCAUUCAGCUUAGCCAAAAGGUUAAGUGCU